rnacentral:rRNA from 1 species
UACGAGUGCCUCAAGCGUUAUCCGGAAUUAUUGGGCGUAAAGGGUGUGUAGGCGGUUAUGUUAGUCCUGUGUUAAAACCUUCAGCUUAACUGAAGAUCUGCAUGGGAUACGGCAUAACUCGAGGAUGCGAGAGGUGAAUGGAACUCUAAGUGUAGGGGUGAAAUCCGUUGAUAUUUAGGGGAACACCAAAUGCGAAGGCAAUUCACUGGCGCACUCCUGACGCUGAAACACGAAAGCGUGGGUAGCGAAUGGG